rnacentral:rRNA from 1 species
UACGUAGGGGGCAAGCGUUGUCCGGAUUUAUUGGGCGUAAAGAGCGUGUAGGCGGCUAGGUAGGUCCGUUGUGAAAACUCGAGGCUCAACCUCGAGAUGUCGGUGGAAACUGCCUCGCUAGAGUCCGGAAGAGGAGAGUGGAAUUCCUGGUGUAGCGGUGAAAUGCGUAGAUAUCGAGAGGAACACCUGAGGUGAAGACGGGUUGCUGGGCCGACACUGACGCUGACAGCGCGAAAGCCAGGGGAGCAAACGGG